rnacentral:rRNA from 1 species
AAUAGUGAUAUGGAGCAAAACCCUAAAAGCGGCUCAGUUCGGAUUGAAGGCUGAAAUUCGCCUUCAUGAAGCUGGAAUUGCUAGUAAUGGCAGGUCAGCAUACUGCCGUGAAUACGUUCCCGGGCCUUGUACACACCGCCCGUCACACCAUGAGAGUUGGAAAUACCCGAAGCCUGUGAGCUAACUGUAAAGAGGCAGCAGUCGAAGGUAGAGCCAAUGAUUGGGGUGAAGUCGUAACAAGGUAGC